rnacentral:rRNA from 1 species
UCCUACGGGAGGCAGCAGUGGGGAAUAUUGGACAAUGGGCGAAAGCCUGAUCCAGCCAUGCCGCGUGUGUGAAGAAGGUCUUCGGAUUGUAAAGCACUUUAAGUUGGGAGGAAGGGCCAUUACCUAAUACGUGAUGGUUUUGACGUUACCGACAGAAUAAGCACCGGCUAACUCUGUGCCAGCAGCCGCGGUAAUC